AUCCUUUUGUAGUUCAUAAGUGUGAUGAUUGGGUGUUCAUGCCAUUGUGUGACAUGUGCCCCCCCCCACCUUGUUACAACCUUGGCACAUUAUCCAUCUGACA
ensembl:snoRNA